GGAUCGAUGAUGACUCCCUCAAUCUGCAUUCCUUGGAAAAGCUGAACAAAAUGAGUGAGAAAUCCCUACCGUCGUUCUCACUGAAACUGAGGUCC
ensembl:snoRNA SNORD116 Small nucleolar RNA SNORD116